CUUUAGAUAAUAGCCUAGUUAGUUCGGGUUCAAAGGAUCAAAACAACUUGAAUUCUUGUUCAUUUUCUUACUAAUGUUCAACAACAACCUUAUGCAGAGGCUUGUAUGGUUUCACUAGAUACAGACACGUUUACAUUUGAAGAACCUAAGUCUUAGAGCUUGACUCUUUUUAGAGUCACCCUGUGGUAUCCCAUCAAAACAAUUAUACAAACGUUGUUAAACGGGAUCUGGAUAGACUCUCUUUACAAGUAACUAAAGAGACAACAUAGGCACUCAGACGAAGCCACGGGUAAAUAUGGCUCAGCAUAUUUAAGCCAAAGGCAGUUGUGUAGGUGGCUUCGCUUGCUAUAUACUGCCUGGAUAGAGAGUGAGCUCUGCAAGAAACACAGCGGUGAAGAACUUCAAAAACAUUUGUUUCAACCGAUUUAAACAAGACGGUACCGGGAGUUAAGCAUCGAUUAGUGCUGGAUUCAAUGUGGGGACUCCCUUGUAAGGAUUUAGUCCAUUACAGAUACCAAAUAUCACCAUGGUAAACAACGCUUCAAAAAACAUGUCGAGGCAUGAAGAUUCUCCAAAUCCACGCAUCCAUUUUUUUCUUCUUUUUGCAAUCUUGCUUACAAUAAUUACCAUUGCGAACAACUCGCUUGUAGUCCUGGCCUACAAAGUCAAUAAACGCCUUCGAAAUAGAGCGAUUCUUAUCCUCGUCAGUCUUGCGCUAUCGGAUUUUCUUGUUGGUGCUAUUUCCAUGCCUCUUUGGAUCUACAUGACCACGUCACAUGACCGAAUGCCUCUUGGAUUGUAUUUAUUUUACAUGAGUUUUGACAUCUUUAGUGCCUUUGCGUCCAUAUUGCAUCUCACGUGGGUCAGUAUGGAACGCUUUCUGGCCAUCGCGUACCCCCUGCGUCAUCGUAAGUUUGGCGACAAGGGGUAUCUAGGAAUGUUAUUGAGCCUGUGGCUUGUGUCUGGACUAGUUGCUGGCCUCUUCCCUGUUCAGUACCACUACAAUUGGAACAAAGGGUUUGCUCUUAUGGUCUUCAUCAAUGGAUUCAUCCUCCCUCUUAUCACCCUUACAAUUGUCUAUACUUCAAUUUACAGAAUCGUAAACUCGAGUGUGUUCCAAGGGAUCCAUAACAGAGGAACUCGAAGGUUUCAAGCGGAGAAAAAACUCGCUAAAACAAUCAUAACACUAUGCUUAUUAUUUUUUAUUACUUGGUGUCCAUUUUUUAUUGUAUCACUUCUCGGUACAUUCCGGCCUGAGCUACUAUCUGCACCGUCGCCGAUUUUCAUUUGGUACAUUACGGUGUUCGUCAAAGGAAUGCAUUAUUCGAACAGCUCCCUUAACACAUUUGUUUACGCAUUCAGCAGCAACGAAAUGAGAAAAACUUUCGUCUCACUUCUUAGAUGUAAGAGAAAUAUUGUGUUCCCAACUCCAACCAAAAAUAGACAUAGAAUUAAAAGAAGGGCUAAAGUAUUCCACCUUCAAAACUCCGUUGAUUCGGUUUAAAGACAACUUUUCUAAUCUAUAGAGGAGGGAACCAAAAUUGGUGCGCUAAGGGAGUCGAAAUCGAAGAGUCCGCUUUUUAGUUAAAACAUCCUAAAAGCACGGAAGAUAACCAACAAGCAAUCCUAAGACUCACAUGCGGCACCGGCCGAGAUCAGAAAUCGAUCUACCGGCUCGCGUCGGUGAGAUGCGAACGCUCUAGCCGCUACACAACACCCAUGGUUUCUCUACUUAGUCUCGUAAUAAUUAAUUUCUUGACUUACAAAUUUCAUACGAAAAGAAGUUGUUUUUAUCAAAGAUGACCAUCAGGUUCAUCAGAAACGACCGGAAGCAGGAUCAUGUGACUUACCAAAUUUAAAUCCGACAUUAACUGAAAUUGGAAUGCUGGUUAUCUAUGCAAGCAACAGGAAGGCAAUUUUAAUUCAAAAUAUUAUAUCAAGCGAAGACAAAAUCUGUUGACUCAAGCCAACUUGGACGCCGGAUGAGAUGUCCUAUGAAGCUUCUCUGUUCAGGAAAACUGCAGAACCUUCCGGGGGUCAUUAUCUAAUGCACGUCAGAUAAGUGCCAUUUUGUCAACAUUUGGUCUUUUAUCAAAAGGAGCAUAAUAUUCGAUUUAGACUCUAAGUUGCCGAAAAAUACUGCAAGAAUAUAAAAGAAUAGCGAACCUUAUUGUAGAGUAGUCUGCAAGUUAAUACAAUAUCCGGGUGCUAUAGUGGCGGUGCAUUACAUAGCCUCUCUAAUGCAUCUGGGUAUUAUUGGGAUCGAUUCCCUGGCUAGAUUAGUCCAAAAUCGUAGUUAGGUUUCUCUCUUGAUUCGAAGGUUUUUUAGCCUAGUCAGCCAAAUGGCUGGAAUUAGAUAGAAUUGAUGUUUGAAUUUUGGUUUGACAAUCAGACCGACAACGUUCCUAAAAGCACCACAAGUCAGUGAAUGAAGAGAAGACAUCGAAUAAUAAAUCAAGUUAAGAAUCGAAGCGAGUACGAAAAGGUUGCUAAUGAAUGUAGUAAUGUGUUUUGUAGCUUUGAUUAUACUAGGUUCUGAUAUCACAACCCAUUGAUUAUGACAUCCUUCUUAGUGAAGAAUUUAUUACACACUUUAUCAA
rnacentral:misc_RNA from 1 species